rnacentral:lncRNA from 1 species
ACAAAGAGGUGUCUUCCUCUACUUUUCCUGCUUCGGUUCGAAGCAGUUGGGUUGAGAGAGGUCUCAUGUUGAUCACCACAUUGAUGAGUAGCUCAUUCCUCAUUAAGAAUAUCCAUGUUAAAGAUCGGAAACUCUUCGUGUUGGGGGGCACCUAGAUGACGGGUGACUUUCACAUGGGCGAUGAACUCUUGUGUUUGAGUAUGCCUAGCCUCGUGAAGAAUCUCAAAGAGAUUCUCAUACUGCUCCUGGAGGACCUUAUUCUUCAUUACUAUCUUGUUGUUCUGAGCCUCCAAUUUUUUUACUUUAGUUUAAAGAGCAAAUUUCAUUCGUUCAUUCUUUCGUUGCCUUGCACUAGGCGCGACGGGGGGUAUCGUUCUGUGUGCUGUGCUUCCUUCGCUCCCCAUGUUGGAGAGGGAUGCUUGGCCAAAAAAGAGCAUACGAAUGAUGGAAACUAGCUUGACAAAGUUGAAGAGAGUAGGAAUAAGUGUGUUUCCUACAGACGGCGCCAAAUGUUGAUGCACAAAAUCAGUGAGGACUUUGGUACAACAGAAAAUGGCAAGUUUGUGACCUUCGCUUGAUUGCUUCGAUCACUAGUGAGGACAAGUAUGUAAAGAGAUAGAGACAAGGAAGCAAACACAAGAUGUCCGUGGUUCACCCAGAUUGGCUACGCCCACGGAGUAGAAGAGUUCUCGUUAAUAGUAAAGGGUUUACACAAAUACAUAGGUUCAAGCUCUCCUUUAGUCAGUUUUAGUGAAUAGUUUAGUACAAAUGACAUUAGGGAUUAUUGUAGGAGAAUGAUCUCCUUUUGAUAUAAGAGAGUUUCUAGCUUUAUUCUGACAUUGACACAUGUCGUGCUGUGAUUGGCCUCUGAUGUUGACACAUAUCGUCCUGUGAUUGGCCUAUGAUGUUGACACAUGUCGUGCUGUGAUUGGCCUUUGAUGUUUACAUGUGUCGCAUUGUGAUUGGCCUCCUAGUUGGAGUGAAAUUCUUGUGGGUCCUUGACGGUAUAAUGCUAAUCGGUGCUCAGUAGUUUCGAGAUUGGUCAAGUAUGAUACACACAUCUCAUUUGUAAUUUUUUCAGCAGUUUCAGGUUCUGGGUUUUUCUUCAAAGCUUGAACCUUUGUAGUGGGAUAGUUAAGCCACAUUCGUGUGAUUUACUACUUUGAGCUGUGUACUAUGAAGUUGGUGAAAUAAUUUUUUUGUUCUUUGAGAAGGAAAAAUUUGGUCAUUCGAAGCCCUUCAAGUUCAAAGAUUUUUCCUUUUUCGUAGGAAAUAAAAAGUUGUUAUUGUGAUGAACGCUUGGGGGUUUUGGAUGCAAUGUUUGAUUCCAAUUGUGGUUGCAAAAAGUCCAAAAAUUAGUUGAGUUUUUUUUCUCUGCACCAAACAAUUCACCAAGUUAGUCUAACUUAGUCUAUUCUAAAACAAUCAAACUUAGUCUCUGAAGCUAUUACUGUUGAGAUACGCUGCUGUAACAAAUGUUACCUUAAGGCUUUGGUUGGGUUGACAAGUUGGAAGUGCGCUGUGGUUUGGUUAGUAGCAUGAUCGUAGGUGCCUUGUAAAUGCAAAACAUCAUCAUGUUGAUUUUUAGCCGACUUUGUAAGUCUUGAUUUAACCAUGAGUUGUUGGGCCAAUGUCAACUGUUUAUUUUUUUCAAAUAGUGUGAAAAUUAGCUCCCCAGUCUUUUUAUUUUAUAUUUUAUCAUCUCUUCCAUAAGAAAAGGGCACAAUAAUAGUUCUCUUCGAGUGAGGAUCUUUCUCUCAGUGUUGAGAGUUCUUCUCAGUUUUAGUGUGAGACUUUUAAUCUUGAGAAAAUCCGGUGGCGCAGACCCUAGCUACGGCAG